rnacentral:rRNA from 1 species
ACGGGUGAGUAAUGUCUGGGAAACUGCCUGAUGGAGGGGGAUAACUACUGGAAACGGUAGCUAAUACCGCAUAACGUCGCAAGACCGAAGAGGGGGACCUUCGGGCCUCUUGCCAUCGGAUGUGCCCAGAUGGGAUUAGCUAGUAGGUGGGGUAAAGGCUCACCUAGGCGACGAUCCCUAGCUGGUCUGAGAGGAUGACCAGCCACACUGGAACUGAGACACGGUCCAGACUCCUACGGGAGGCAGCAGUGGGGAAUAUUGCACAAUGGGCGCAAGCCUGAUGCAGCCAUGCCGCGUGUGUGAAGAAGGCCUUCGGGUUGUAAAGCACUUUCAGCGGGGAGGAAGGGAGCAGGCUUAAUACGUCUGUUCAUUGACGUUACCCGCAGAAGAAGCACCGGCUAACUCCGUGCCAGCAGCCGCGGUAAUACGGAGGGUGCAAGCGUUAAUCGGAAUGACUGGGCGUAAAGCGCACGCAGGCGGUCUGUUAAGUUGGAUGUGAAAUCCCCGGGCUUAACCUGGGAACUGCAUUCAAAACUGACAGGCUAGAGUCUCGUAGAGGGGGGUAGAAUUCCAGGUGU